GCGCUUCUCUCGACGCCCAGGGCGCUGUUCUUGGAUCGAUCCAACAGGUACGAUCUCCAUCCAGACCUGCAUUGGGCAUGCUGCAAGGUCGCCGGGCGUCGAUCGAGAGCAUCACAAAAUCGUCGUACAAGAGUGCCUUUAGCUACGCAAAUUGUCACUAGUCUUGUGGCUGAUCAAGAAGGAACUGGACAGGGUAAAUUGAUUUCUCAAGGCUCAUUCACUAACAACUCGUUCUAGUGUCAAGCGGCUGUCUUCUUUUCUUUCAAGUCAGUGGUAGCCGGCUCUAGACAGCAACGGAGAACUGUCGUCAUCGCCCGUUGUUUAGAAUAAGCGGACGCCAAGUGCAUCAUGAGUGACUUCAUCGAGCUUAGUCGAUCAUUGCUUGUAACCUGCGGCCCAAGCUCACAGGACACUCCCACGUAGAGCAAUUUCUCUUCGCUGGUUUGCUGAUGCAGCUGCUUGCUUCAACGUAAAUGGCUCCCACUGCUUAGCGACAGCAUUUGGGAUGCCGUACGUGGUGGUUUCUUCUUUGGAGGAACUGAAUCCUGGAGGGCUGAUUCAACUAACAACGAUCACGCUCUUUGCCAAUAGAUGCACUCUAAGGACACAGGCCUUCUCUGUAAGUCCGACACGCACAUUGAAGCUGGAUGUUCUACUUCGUCAGUCUGUUUCUACAUUCUGCUCCUGGCAAGAUGGAGCUCAACCAUUACAGGUCUUGCAGGUCGACGAGGUUGCUAAAGCGGAUGGAAUAUGUCCCUCGAAACUAUAUGCCCAGAGGAUCAGGUGAUGGUUUUCGCUGGGAGUUCUCCGGCAAGAGUGUUAAAGCUCGCCUCCAUCAAAGUAGCACACCUUUGGAGGGAGGCAAACAUAGAUCAGCAUCCAGGCGAUUGUUUUGUAGGAGCAAGCUUUCUAUGGUGGUGAGAUUGUUGGAGCUGAGAUCCAGGUACCUCAUGAGAAGUCCAAAACGCGCUGGUACCUCACCUGGUUGCUUCCGUCUAUCUCUUCUUCGGAUGCCGACAUAAGGGGACGGAUUCAACAAACAACUAGUCGGACAUGAAAGUCCCCAAGGUAAACGUGUUUUUGUUUGUGUCUGUUCUGCGUUUCCUACCAGCCAGGCGUGCGGCCUGACCAUGUGAAAAACUCGAUCCGCUUGUCUUUAUCAAGGUUAAAUGAGUAAAUCUUUGCUUACUUUCU